AUUGAACGCUGGCGGCAUGCUUUACACAUGCAAGUCGAACGGUAACAGGCCUUCGGGUGCUGACGAGUGGCGCACGGGUGAGUAAUGCAUCGGAACGUACCCAGAGGUGGGGGAUAACGCAGCGAAAGCUGUGCUAAUACCGCAUGUGAUCUGAGGAUGAAAGCGGGGGACCGCGCAGCAAUGUUUGGCCUCGCGCCUUUGGAGCGGCCGAUGUCGGAUUAGCUAGUUGGUGGGGUAAAGGCCUACCAAGGCGACGAUCCGUAGCUGGUCUGAGAGGACGACCAGCCACACUGGGACUGAGACACGGCCCAGACUCCUACGGGAGGCAGCAGUGGGGAAUUUUGGACAAUGGGCGCAAGCCUGAUCCAGCAAUGCCGCGUGCGGGAAGAAGGCCUUCGGGUUGUAAACCGCUUUUGGCAGGAACGAAACGGUGUCCGCUAAUACCGGGCGCUAAUGACGGUACCUGCAGAAUAAGCACCGGCUAACUACGUG
rnacentral:rRNA from 1 species